ACUGGUGGUGUAGUGGUUAGGGUUUGGCGCUCUUGCUGUCACGGUCUGGGUUCGAUUCCCGGUCACGUA